ACUAUUACUAUAUUUUCAAAAUUCAGUUGUGGAACAAAGGGAUGGUCUGGAUCUGUAAAUAAGUCAAAGUAUUUAACAAUAACUCCACCUCAACAACAUCUGAAACCUGACAACUCUGAAACAUGUGGUGAAGAGGUCACGGCUAUUACACAAACUACCUGUGAAGAAUGCAACAAUCCAAUUAGAAGAUGCUUGUACAAUUCUAAAUGAAAAUUUGGGCUAUCACCCCCUAAUUGGAUGCACAAAUGCUGUGGUCCCAGUUCUCCAUCACUCCAUUAGUGUAUCACUGCGAGAUCGGUCCGGACAAUCUUUCAGAAAUUCACCACCAGCAUUAACACGUGCUUCACGUGGCUCCUACCUGGGCGUUUUGUGUAAAACUGGUAGAUCACUGAGGCUUCAGAUGAAUACAUUUUUACCCCAUUGUCAAAAAGUUGUGGCAAAGAAUAGCAUCAUUUAAUUUGGAAUUUAAGAAUAACUAACUUUAUCAAUGUGAAAUGAAUAAUAAAAAAUAUUGAAACAGAACAGGCUCCAGAGAUGCAUAGAUUAUCUUCAAACUAGAUGUCCUCAGUAUAACAUGUCAUAUCUAAUGGAGAAAGAAUUAUGAUAAACUUGCCAACUAUUACCUAAUAUGCAUUCUAAGUCAAUAUAUCCCCAUUCAUAACAUAUGGUUACAUAUACUAAUAAGGGGCACAUGUCAAGUUAAGGCUAACAUCUACAAUGAUUGAAAGCAUAAACUGCUCUCUGAAUGAAGAUCCUUCCAAUAUCCUCAGAACUCUAAACAAUCCCUCCUUGCACCCUUGCACUUACAUGUGCAUCGUUAUCUACACCCAGGGUACUUUUCACAGUUAGCUUACAAAGCCAUUAAAUAGUGGGAAGGAUUUUCUCUGACAGAUGCCACAAGGAAACCUAGGCUACCCUCGUGUGGCAAGCAAUGGAGUAACUUCUUGGGAAAAGGGAAGUAGCAAGGACAGGUUUAUUUAGACAUCGUCUUCCCCUUCCCUCACUCUCCAACCACACCCAUUAGCUCUCAGAUGAGAAGACUUCCCUGAGGAAGUGGUGCUGGCUGAAACCCGUAGUGCCUACCCGGGAUCUGUGACACCCAUGGAAACCUACAGCAUGUUGGUUCUCAAGCUCACCUUCCUUGGAGAUUUUUACUUUGGCCUAAUCAACAAAUAACAAACCCCAUUCAUAUGAAGGUUAUUUCUACCAGUUUAAUAUUUUAAGGAGGCAUUUAUGUAAGCUUUGCCUGCAACACA